AAGACUCUCGGCAACGGAUAUCUCGGCUCUUGCAUCGAUGAAGAACGUAGCGAAAUGCGAUACUUGGUGUGAAUUGCAGAAUCCCGUGAACCAUCGAGUCUUUGAACGCAAGCUGCGCCCGAAGCCAUUAGGCCGAGGGCACGCCUGCCUGGGUGUUGCACAU
rnacentral:rRNA from 1 species